GCCGGGCGUUGUGGCGAGUGCCUGUAGUCCCAGCUACUUGGGAGGCUGAGGCAGGAGACUCGCUUGAGCCCAGGAGUUGGAGGUUGCUGUGAGCUGUGAUGCCAUGGCACUCUACCCAGGGGGACAGCUUGAGGCUCUGUCUCAAAAAAAAAAAAAAAAAGAAAAGUUCCAAUCAAUUUCCAUCUCCAUAGGAGCCAACUGUUGUCAUGGUUACCUAAAUAGGAUUAUGCAAUCUCAGAUAUGUCCAAUGGAAGGAUAACGCUGAGAACAAGGGAGACGGUGUUUUUUUUCUUUUUUUUUUUUGAGACAGAGCCUCAAGCUGUCCCCCUGGGCAGAGUGCCAUGGCAUUACAGCUCACAGCAACCUCCAACUCCUGGGCUCAAGCGAGUCUCCUGCCUCCG
rnacentral:SRP_RNA from 1 species